CUCUUUAGCUGGCAGACGAGAUACCACAGUCAAAAAGGUGGCUGUCUGGGUGAAGCUUGCCAGUUGUGUUCCAGGUGUACCAAACCCUGGCCACGUCCCCAGAUACAGCCCAACUGACUGCAUCAUUUGUGGUAUUAGGGACCUGUAUUCCUGCUUUCCUCC